GGGGAGAGAAGCGCGGCGCGGGGGGUGGGGCUGCGCCAGGGGCGGGGCCUGUGCCCCGAUGAUUGGCGUGGAGUGCAGCGCUCUUCCCAGGGUAAUGACCGGCGGGCAGCUCGCCUCUGAGAGUGCGGAAGGUGACAGCGGUGUCACAGAAGUAAAGGUCGGUUCUUCAAAUUGACAAGAGCUGCUGUCAAUCACCUCUUUCUCAACUUUUUCUCCCCCAACCUCUCCGCUACCUUCAGACAUUUUCGAAGGACUCCUCGCCUCUCCUAGACCACAAACUAUCUGGAGCUGAGCCAGUGAACAGUCCAUCAUCCGGAGACCCUCUUGUGCCCUGGCUUCCUGGCUGUGCCAUGACGCACAGCUAGAUGGUGCUAUGCCCAAGGCCCCAUUCUGGAGCUCUAGGACUAAUGUAAAGUUUGCCUUCUUCCCCUAAGAAGUUAUCGGUGCUGACCCCAUCUUGCCUCAUAUCCGUUUUCCUCAGUGACCACCAGAAGUCCAAAUCCCAGCCUCUGCAGUGAUUCACUAUGACCCUGACACAUCAUCCCCCUCCUGCUCUUUACGUAUCUGAUAUGGACAUCCCACGUUUUCCCUGUCCAUACCCUGCCCUCCUUCUCUCGAUGACUGCAUUGCAGUUUUCCUUUGAAGAACCAUUCCCUUACUUGCCAACAUGCGGUUCUGGUGAGUUCUGUUCACCGUAAGUGGGCAGCGGCCCCAGGCCUGGCCAAUCAGAGAUGCCUCCACACUAGCUACAGUGGACGGUUAGGGUCGGGAUUUCACUGGUGUGAUAAGGGAAGAGGCGGUGGCUGAAGACUGAGUCUACCUGUUGGACAGCCAUCCACUGCUCUGUGGGGAGAAGCUGCCUGAGAACAGAGCCAACGCAGAGGAGAGCACCCUGGGGACAUGUUUGGGUCCCCGAUGCCUCUGAGACGAAAGCCAGCAGUCCCACUGGCCUUCAGGCAUGUGAGCAAAAUAAAUUCUCUUUUCUUUUGCUUAA